AUGAUGCUCGACUCUCAAUUAACUGCUAGUGGUCAAAGGAGAAUGCAUGGCACAACCCGGGCAGCCCCCGGGCUAGCCGGGAGGUGGCUCCGCCACUGGCUGGAGGUUGGCGCCUUCAAGGUUGCGGAUAUCAUUGCCAUUCUUCUGGACCUUCACCAGGAAGUAGUAUCAAAACAACUCGAAGUUCGGGUUCGUCCCAAGGAAGCAUUCGCAAUGGGUGAUGUAGUUGGCGAUGUGGAGAAUGGCGUUGGGUGUCAGAUGAUGCAACUGACACCCGUAGGAGAACAAAAGCCCACACACAAAGCUGUCCAGCUGGAAAGGCAAACCUCGACAAAAGAACUGCUAGUGCAACACUCGCUUGUGCCGGCUGGUGGCAGGAUGGCCACGGCCCCCGCCGUCCUCCAUUGA
rnacentral:rRNA from 1 species